AUGUUGUUUGAAAGGAAGGAGGUUAGCACACCCCUUGAUGGAAGGAUGGAAGAGGUCCUAGUGGCCUUACAACACACAAAUGGUUAAGGCAUUGCCAUCUACUUCGUAGCAUCUAAUCAGGUUUU